rnacentral:lncRNA from 1 species
UGCAGCUUGAUCAGAAUUCCUGUCUUGCUGUCAUCCCUUGUGUCUCUUGUCCCUUCAUUCCUCCCCAUCUAGGUUCGCUGCCCACGUUGAUGUGUCCUGCCGGUCGGGACAUUUGGCGCCCAAUAUGGGGCUCGAGCCUUUGACUGAGAAGGAACGCCGUCCUCCGGGAAGACUUGGCCAAGCGGAGCUCGCGAUUGCCUCGGCAGACACGACCGGCAGACACGACCGAGAGACAGAUCCAGGAGGAGAGUGGGGACGACGCACGAUGAGUGACCCACCAUGGGACAAGCAGUUUCAUCACAUGAUUUGUUUUUGUCAGGCCUCAAGGAGGUCCUCAAGACACGGGGGCGCGUGUUAAGAAAAAGGAGUUAAAAUUAUUCUUUUCAUACAUAGGAGAAUUGUGUCCGUGGUUUCCC